CUGAGAUACACUCCAUGUGACUCUGCAUGUGCUGUGCAGCGAUCCACCAAUCGCCUUCGUCCUUAACUCAGUUGCCAAUCAGACUCACUUCUCAGUUGCCAAUCAGACUACCCUGCCAGCUGUCAAUCAAAAUCAGGGAGGAGAAAACCCACCCCUGCACAUGUUCUGCACAUGGAGGGAGACGUGUGUCCACUGAGAAUUACUUUCGGAACUUUACUCAUGACUGUUAAGCUCAACAAAUAAGAACUGUAUGGGUUUUAAAUUGUACAUUUCCGUGGACCACUCUACUAUAAGCAGUGCGCGUUUUGCGAGGUGCAUGCAAUUCUCGGAGGACAUGCGUUUCUCGGCACAACACCGCUAACAACAACAACAACGAUCGCAAAAUGAACAACGAACAAGCGAAAACCACCGAAAAUGAAGAUUUGUUGCCAAAAAGAAAAAGGAAAGUCAGUUAUCUGGAAUUAUUUCGGUUAAAAGAAGGAUGAUGUCGACCAAAACACGUCUUCUGUGUUCACCUGUUGCCACAAUAACGUCCCAGCACAAUAAAAGCUAAAAAUAUCUCUGAGACAGACAGAAGCCGUUCUACUAACAUUCACAAAAAGAGGUAAGAUCAGAGCAGAUUAACUGUCCUCAAGAUUUCAGCAGUGCAGCAUAACAUUAAGUGCUAUUCAGGUCAUCUGGUGAAAGUACUGUAUUUUUAAUAUCGCAAUAUAUAUCGCAGGGUUGAAAAAAUCGCAAUAUUAUUUUUUUCCAAUAUCGCGCAGCCUUACUUUGACAUAGUUAGAGGGAUCUGUGAGCCUCAGACCAAGAGAAGGAGUUCAGGCUGAUAAUGAAACAGAAUUUAUAUAUUAAGAAAGAAAAUGACAAAAAUGACCAUCUGUAGCUGAAGUUUAAAAAAAAAAGGGUGGAUCAAAUAUUUUCAGUGGCUCAGAUAAACCAGUUACUGAUAAAUCAAAAUUAUAACACAUUUGCAUAAACACAUUUGUCUCCUCUCAUAAUCAUUACAGUUUUUAAAAUGUGCUGAAUAUACAUCAGUUAUGCCUUUAGCAGGGUUUAAAUAUGUGGAAGUAAUCUGUGAGUUAACAUUGUACAAUCAUCCGAUUGCUUUAGAUGAUCAUUUAACAGUCAAAUAUUGAUUAUGUUUUUAUUCUUGUUAUUAGGAUUAAGGUUUAGCCUUGAGAUGAAACACCUAAUUUUAAAGGGAGUCCAAACAAAAUCACAAACACAGCAAAGAAGAAAAUCAGAUGGAUAAAUAUAUAUGUAUAAUAAUAUACACAUAUAUGUAUGUAUGUGUGUAUAUAUGUAUAUCUCUGGGCCCUGCUUUCACAUUAAACAUCAGUAAAAAAUCUGUUAAUGAAAUAUAUAUAUAUAGUAAAUGAAUUCUGUGGGAUCUGCUGGACCUGUUUGGUCUUAGGGUGCUUUGGUUGUUUUUUUUAAUUGAUUAAUGGUCUUUACAGUCAGACUGAAGAGUCUGACUCUUCAGGAUCACUAUAGACUGCUCUCGCCUCUCUGGAUCAGUUCAAUCCUGAUCCGCACUUUCCCUGCAGUUUGAGAGGCCGAGCUCACAUUCCAGCCGCGUGGAAACGUCUCGGUUCAGUUUCACACAUGCUCUGAGAAUGACUCUUUGUUUCCUCCCUUUUCCACAGCCGACACUUAAAGCCGAGCAGAAUAAAUAAGCUGGCAGCUUGAGGAAACACCAGAGAGCCGGAGUGUGUUUUCUGGAGCCGAGCCACCACUCGCUUGUCAAAGUGAAUGUAAGUAGGCCACAAGUGUGAGCAAUCACUGGAAAUUAUACGCUUUUAGAGGGAUUUCAUAUAAAGGUAUUAAGCCGGUCUGAGAUGUUUGGCAGCACAAAUGAUGGGAAUUAUAUUCAUGGACAUGAUGUGCGCCACAACUGUGGCUUCUUGUUGGUUCCAUCUAUUGCAUAUUUUCCUAAACUCUGCCAGCGUGUGAAGUGGAUCCCGGCAGAUUGAUGUAAUAGGAUAAAUGCGGCUCCGUGAGAGGGUUCGAGUGGGCCGGUGAGGGCACCACAUGGUAGGUGGGAUGGAAACUCUACUCUGUGGCCCGGAUCCUUUUCCCAGAGCCUCAGCUAGCCGAGGAGCGUCUCUGGAAACUUCAGAAAGCCUCUAACAGGCUGCUGACAGGAGGACGAGCCAGACCCCAGACCAUUUGGACCUUUUAAUCCAGUUUUCACCAACCGGUUUUAGACUUCAGUGUGAGCGGAGAUGAAUAACGAGGAAGAUAUGAUAUCCUCUGCAUUUAGUCUACCAUCAACUCUUAGAGAGGCCGAUUGCAGCCGGCACGCAGCCAGACAAUCAGGACCAAAUUUCAGGCUCGGUUUAACCCAGGGUUUGAUUUUCCUGGGUGUUACAGCGGGGCUCUGCUGCUUAUUAGCCUGUACACAAAGCUCUCUAAGCAUUUAUAUCAUAAAACACUGAGCAUCUGUCCAGGGCACUGAAAGCCCAGGGGUCAGAGUAGGCCGGUUCAGACCUGUGCCCCACUAUAAGAUUCAGUGGCAUUAUGCAGGUCUGCAGAGAGAGGGGAGCUGCUGUCUGCCAAAACCCACAUUCAGAUACACUCACAGUUGCAAUUUCAGCAAGAAAACAUCUGCUGUUAUGUCUUCUCAAACAACUCUGUCCACUUAUAAAUGGCUGAUAGUCCAUCCUGAUUAGUGUUUGGAUCCAGCUGUCUUUGUGAGAGCUUAGAGUUAACCUGAGCUCCCACCCACACACUGCAGCUGACUGAGAUCCAUGCUGUGGAGUCUUGAUAAGCAGACGUUUGAGUUUAAAUGUGCAGCAGUGUGAGGUGACGGUCAAGAAUCCCUCUGGAGGCUAAUAAAGCUAAUGAUCUGCAACAACCAGCUCAGUCUUCAUCAGGAGAGACCUGCUGCUGCUGCUCCAGAGACAACACAGAGUCACUCACACAUGCUGCAGUAAAUCUGCACUAUAGAUAAACCAUUAUGUUUGAUCUGUAAACCUGCUGCAAAUGCACAACACACAAAUAACACACAAAGCAAAAGAAACGCUCAAAACAAAAGCUGCAGAUUCUUUCAAUCAAAAGCUUUGAUUGUGUUUCUGCACCAUUCAUUGGGUAUGCAGUCAUUUUUCAGCAUGUUUUUGGAUGCAGUCUUUCACUUGUUUUGGAUGUGUGUGUGUUUUAUUUUUAUAAAGUUGUGUCAUUUUUGCACUUGCAGUCCAUUUCUCCUGAUGAAGAUCACG
rnacentral:lncRNA from 1 species